AUGAGGUGUGAUUUGAGUGGAUCUUGCAAUGAGGUGAUGCUUGGAGGCAUCUUGCAAUGGGGUGAUGCCAGAGCACAAUCUGAUUGGAUCCUGGAUCCUGCCAUGUGGUGUCCCCUUCUUAAUUCAGUCCCCUUUCCUGGCCUGAGCACUUAGGUUCCCCCUAUGGUUGCACAUUUGUUUCCUCUUGGCAUGCUCAAGGCAUCUUGGCAUGCCUGAGGGUUCAUGGCAGCUGAAAAGCAACUCACAACUCUGUUACAUAAAAGUUGAACCAGAUUGGUCUGGUGUAGCUGCAGUUUCACCACCUAACCAUGCAUCCCUAAUCACUCUAUUUCCGUUUUUCUUAUUUGUUUGACUUCCUACAAAUGAAGUCACACGUGACGCCUUCUUGGUGCAGGACAUCUUUCAACAUUGUUUGUGAGGCUCAUUUGAGUGGUUGUGUGUAGAACUGGCUUGUUAAUGUUGUUGCUGUAAAGCAUUCCACUGAAUUAAUACAUCACAAUUAUUUGUUUAUGAACUUGAGUUGUCUCAUUUUAGAACUAUUACAGAUACUGCCGCUGUUAAUGUCUUUUGAUGCAUGUGUUCACAUUUCUUUUAGGUAUAUUCCCUAGCAGUGGAAUUAUUAGGUCACAGAGUAGGCAUAUGUUUAACUUUAAUAAAAACAGCCAAAUGAUGUUGUAAAAGUUUAAACUCCCACUAGCAAUAUAUGAGAGUUCUAAUUACUCCAUAUAUCCUUGUCAACCAUUAGAAUUGUCAGAGGGUUCGGUUUGUUUGCUUUUAACUAUUCAGAUGGAUGUACAGGGUUAUUGAAUAGUGGUUUUAGUUUAUUGUGGUUUCUCUGAUUAUUCAUGAAAUUAGCCCCUGUUUAUUGGUAGUUUGAAUAUCUUCUUUUGUAAAGUGACUGUAUUUUAUGUCUAUAGUUCUAUUGGUUAUUUUCUUAUUGGCUUGUGUUUUUUAUAUACUUUAGUUAUGACUUCUUUAUUGUUGACAUAUAUUGUAUGAGUAAUGCUGUCAAGAAACAUCCUUCUUUAUGUCUUUCAGCAUUGCCGUGACAUUUUACAAAUGCCAUGGCAAAAUCCGGAAAUUACCCUAUAUGGUCUAAAAGGGAGAAGAACUCUCAAUUCUGGGAAUUGCCUGCUCUUUUUCAGGAAAACUCAUGAAUAAUCCACCCCUUGUUUAGCACAUAAUCAAGAAAUAACUGUAAGUAUACUCAACCAAGCAGCUCAUACCACUGCUCUGCCUGCGGAGUAGCUAUUCUUUUGUUUCUUUACUUCUCUAAUAAACUUAUUUUCACUCUAUGGACUCACCCCGAAUUCUUUCUUGCGUAAGAUUCAAGAACCCUCUCUUGGGGUCUGGAUUCAGACCCCUUUCCCAUAACACCACCAUGGAUACGUCUCUUGCUCUGCCCUACCUAAUGGCUUUAGGACUGAUUAUUUAGGAAGGUGAGGGAAAGGAAGGAAAGAAAGAGGAAAAGAAGAAAAAAAAGGAAGGAGAAAAGGAAAGCAGAGUUUUAAAUUUUAAGUUAACCUCUGUACUCUUGCAACAUGGAUUUAAUAUAGAAUUUGAAACAUAAUAUGGCAUUGCGGCCGGGCGCAGUGGCUCAU
rnacentral:lncRNA from 10 species